UGAGGCUACAUCGGGAUCUUUUGCAGCUCUGCUGCUCUUCUCCUGGGGCCUGGCUGGCAGUGGAAGAGGAGGGAGGAGCUGCUGGAGGCUGCAAUUCAUAAAGGCAUCUUCCGGACGAUCGGAUCUCCUACAUGAAUAGUGAAUACCGACUGAAGACGCCAUCUGCCUCAGAGGAUACAGUUCUUCAGAGGUUCCAUAUUGUGAGAAACCAUCAUACAGAUACACUGGCGUAGCAUGCCCUAUUGAUUAGCACAGGGGAAACACAUAUGCAGGGCCACUGGAAUGCAUGCAUGUGGUUUCCAUGGUGAUGGCCACGGUCCCCACCGGAGGUGCGUCAUUGGGAGCGACUUCCAGCUGGCGAUUCCCGGAGCACAGCGGCAUGAAGCAGGAACAGGUGUUUUGAGGAGGUUUAU